GAUAAACGCUGGCGGCGCACAUAAGACAUGCAAGUUGAACGGACUUAAUCGAAAUAUUUAUAUUUUGAAGCGGUUAGUGGCGGACUGGUGAGUAACGCGUAAGGAACCUGCCUAUUAGAGGGGAAUAACAGUGAGAAAUCAUUGCUAAUACCGCAUAUGCCAUAGAUAUCACAUGAUAACAGUGGGAAAGGAGCAAUCCGCUAAUAGAUGGCCUUGCGUCUGAUUAGAUAGUUGGUGGGGUAACGGCCUACCAAGUCGACGAUCAGUAGCCGGACUGAGAGGUUGAACGGCCACAUUGGGACUGAGAUACGGCCCAGACUCCUACGGGAGGCAGCAGUCGGGAAUAUUGCGAAAUGGAGGAAACUCUGACGCAGUGACGCCGCGUAUAGGAAGAAGGUUUUCGGAUUGUAAACUAUUGUCGUUAGGGAAGAGAAAGGACAGUACCUAAGGAGGAAGCUCCGGCUAACUACGUG
rnacentral:rRNA from 1 species